rnacentral:lncRNA from 1 species
AAGGUCUCAUCAAUUUUAUUUAUUUAAUCACAUUCAAAUAAAUAAUGUCCUAUUACAACUACUAGUCCAAAGUUAAUGAAAUUAGUAGCAUAUGAUAUCCCCACUAUUCGUUUUCAUAAAACAAAUCAAUAUCAAAAUAUUUUUCAAAAUAUUGGAGAUAUAUAUAACUACUAAUUGUAUUCAUUAUAGUUUAGUAGCGUAUGAUACUCCCACUAUUUGUUUUAAGAAAAACAAAUCAAUAUCAAAAACGAAUUUUUUAAAUAUUGGAAGUAACUACUACUACUAAGGUUUUUGCAUUCCUUUGAAAUUGGACUUUAUAGUUAUCUUAGGCUCUUGGAUGACCAUGGACUUAUUAGGUUAUUGCAACAAUGAGCCAACAUUGUUGAAUAUAAACUCGGGGAGGUUGUGUCAAUUUAAUUACGUGCUUUUCAAUCCAAUUAAAACAUUUUCAUUGAGCCAUUAGAAAUGAAAGACAAUCAUUCAUUGCUAAUUAGGGCAUUGGACCCAUUUAAUCUUUAAUCUCAUGUCAAAACCCUCUUUUAGUUAUGUCUCCUUACCAAUAGUUAAAGAAACUCUAGUCUAGCACUAGAGGGAAUCAACUAACUAAAAGAGAUUAAGAAAUAAUAAGAAUUACAAACCGAUUUGUACAAAUUCCUACAAAUUCAAACGUGACAAGGUCCAAUUAAAAGAGUAAUUAAAACACAUUCCCAAGGUUCAAACAAUUUGAUUUUAGCGCCUUAUCUCAUAGCUCAAUUAUCGUUUAAGGCAUAAGUCCAUAGUCACCCAUUUUUCUAACUACUUAAUCACAUUAAAUAAUCAAAUGGAAUGCAACAUAAACAAUUAGAUUUAGUGCAUAUGGGCAUAAUAGUAUUAUGAGUUUAAACAACUAACAAAAUUAAAAUCAAUUAUUUUAACUUUCUAGUUAGUAGGGGCCUAAAUGCAAAUAUGAAAAAGUUAGGGGUCAAACCGUAAAUACUUAAAAGUAUAAAAUAUCUUUUUCCAAAUUACAAAAAACCCCACAAGUGGAUAAAUCCACUAGGGUGGCCGGCCACAUUAAGGGGAGAUGGGAAGUCUCACCCAUCUUGCUUUAAUUCAAUGCAAGGUAGAAAAAUCCAAAUUUGCUUGUCACUUGGUUGUCAUUAAAACUUAGGUGAAAAGGGUGAUGGAAAUUUCCUAGUCAAGUCUAGGAUUUAAAAAAUUUUGGGAAGGCUAUGGAUGAUAAGUAUAUCAUCCAAAACCAUAAAACAAUUUAUUAAAACCAAAUAAAACCAUUUUCACCCAAAAACAAACCAUGAACACCAAGAACAAAACCAUGAACACUUUUUCAAGAUUUGUGUAUUCUUGGUGAUUUUUCAAACCCAAAAACUAAAGUGACAAGGGCUCUACUUUCUAGCUUUAAAAUGAUGUGUGAGUGUCUUACAAUCAAGGAAGAAAAUAUCGGUAAUAUCAAAAAUAUCGGUAGUCCGAAAACACGGAAAUAUCGAUGGAAAUAUCGGGAUAAUAUCGAUAUCGAUAAA